rnacentral:lncRNA from 10 species
CUGUCGUGCCCUGAGGAGUCAGCACCUCCUCUGCUUGAAGAAAUCUACCCCCCUCAACUCUUCAGGCAGGUACUCCUGAUCCACAGGCUUUGACGUUGUUGUAGGCGCUGUACACCUCAAUGGACUUUGGGGCUCUGGCAAAGUAGACCACACACUGGGCCAGAAGCACCUACCAAUGACACAGAGGACACAUUUUACUAGCAAGAUGCCAAGCUUCUGUUCUGCAGAGCCCCUUCUGAUACACAGCUCUAGGUAAUUCUGAGAAGAUCCCCACAUGCUUUUAUUAUCCCCCUUUUGCGCCUACAGUCUGGAUAACCACCUACGACAGACAGAAGAAAUUCUCAUGAGGUGAAACGAGAGGCAAACCAGGUGAGUGGUUUUCAUUUUUUUUUUUAACUGAAGGACUUUUUACUACAUUAAAUUUUUCUUAAGCCCCCAAUAUAUAAAAGAGAUGAAUAUGAAGCUGCUCUGGGGGCGAACUUGCAGAGGCUUUGCUGUUCAGCUCCUUUAACCUUUCUGCUCCCUGGAACAUAUGGAGCAUGUGCUCUGAACCCCGGAAUCCCGAGAACAGUUUGAAACAUGACCUCGUUGACACAGAAGGUUUCCCUCUCUAGGAGUCUAAGAGUCUACAAUUGGAAUUCCAAAGCCAAGCAGCAUACUCAGUGGGUCCAAUACACCAAUGGUGAAGGAGGGACAUUUAUUCAAAUCUACAAAGGGACAGAGCACGAGAGAGAAAAGAAGUGAUUUGCAAGAAAUGAGCUGAUUACUUUACCUCACAUUCAGGCAUGCCUAUAAAAUGACAGCCUUGGUAGGCAGCAACCGCUUGUGUUAACGCAGACGGGUCUGCCAGACCUGCCACACACAGAGACAAAGGAGAGUUUCAGUCAUGACACACACUGUCCUCCUGGCCUAUGUGCAGGCGACCACAGACCACCACUGCUUGUACACUUGGUGACCAAAACAAUCCCAUGUAGCAAAACAGCCUGACUUAGCUCUAGUCUCUGAUCCCAUGAACUUAUGCAAGAAAUAUUGAGAGUGGUUACUGUGUGGUGUUAAGAACUGUUUCCUUGUGGAUAAAAACUCUGCAUCUAGAAAAACAUGAGUCUCUGUAUAACAAACAUAAGAAGUGAAGGCUAUGGAGACAUUCACCAGGAUGGAAACACUAAAAACAAAACAUCCCCUAAGACCAAAGAAGAGGAGAGCUUUCCUGAUCUUUUUCUUCAUAUAGUGUCUAGAGUCUUCCAUUUCUACCUUGGGAGCUGUCCAAAGAAAACCUUGAACACCUGACUUAAAGCAAAUUUAAAAGCAGCUCAUCUAUUGCAAUACUCUGAAUAGCCACUCAUGUUAGUAAAAACAUUCCCGAAGAGGAAACAGAAAAUGGUGACUUUAUGAACAUAAACAUUCAAAAGCACAUACACCAGGAAAUAAACGACUGAGCUCAGGCAUAAAGUCUUAUCUUCUCCUGCCAGUCUCACAUAGCCCUGAGACAUUCUUCCUGCUACCCCCGCCCACCCCGCCCUGCAAAAAAAAAAAAAAAAAAAGCCACGAUGUAACUGUUAGCCAUUUCCCCACCCUCAUGGACAUAGGACUCCGGGACCCUCCCAUCACACUCACCUAUGUCCUCGCUGGCAAACCUGACAAGCCUCCGUGCCACGUAGAGUGGGUCCUCUCCUCCCUCGAGCAUGCGAGCCAGCCAGUAGAGGGAGGCGUUCUGGUCUGAGCCCCGCAUGGACUUGUGCAGGGCGGAGAUGCAGUUGUAAUGCUCCUCACCUGACAUCACAAAGAGCACCACUCACACAGAGCUCACAGGAGGGGCGCCCAAGCCAUCUUCACCUCCGCCAGCUGACUUCCAGAAAGCCUGAACGAAUAAAGGCCCUGAGAAAGCCGAGGAGAGGUUUGGGCAGCUGCCUUAACCGUGCUCUGAGUGGGGUGCACCAGCUGCUGGGGCUUAAUCCCAGUCCUAUUCAGGGGAAGAGGCUGCUGCAGCAGAAACCUGUGGCUGUCGACAUGGAGUGCACGCACACGCACAGAGGCAGGAGGGAGGAAAGGUGGUCCUCCCAGCUGGUGGAUUUGCCAGAGACAAGAGUGGAGGGGGACGAGUCUUCUGUUCUGGCUCUAUCCCGUGGCCCACCAUCUACUGGAGGAAAAGCAACGGUGGGCCUGCUCGGAGCCAGGAGGAUGUAGAGCCAAGUGGCAAGGGCAGCUGUUAUAGCCCAUCUGUUCCUCAGUGUCAUUUCCAGCUGCCUUUCUGAUAUCCGAAGCCUGUGGUCAUUUAAACCUCCUUCUGCCAGCCUUGGUGUGGGGACACCUGUGUGGCAGGGUCCCAGAAGGACCGACACGUGGACUAACCAGCUUCCGCCCUGAAGUGGACGGAAGCCCACUCUCUCACCGCCUGGUCUUACUACUCCAUUUUUACCCUAGAUUCACAUGAAAUCAGUGAAAUGUGCUUUAAAAAAAGGCAUAUUUAAGGGCAAAAAAAUGACAGCUAAACAGUUCUCAGGAACUAAGCAGUGGCACCUGCAUACAUUUCACUAUUCUCUGGCCAUCGUCCCUUAGGUAAGUUCAAGGAGGGGGCACCCUCCUCACGAGAAAGCGGAGGAUGGUGUUCCCGUGAGUCUCACUCCUCCCAGAGGAGCACCUGGUCUGUGCUCAGCAUAAGCCCAUGUCCACAAUACGACUGGCGCCAGCCACAAACCCUGGCAGCUGAGCUCGCUGGUAAGAUGACAGUUGGUCUUCAGGUGGAGAAGAGAGCAAGCGAAGAUGCUGGCCUCCCACAGGGGAAAGACCUGCAGGACCCACGGCUCAGCCUGAGUGAUUCUGGUUUCUGAGAGCCAGGGCAGAUGGAUGGGUCAGCCCAGCUACUGGAUUUCUGAGAACAAACUGAGUGUCUCCUGUGCAGGGCUCCCCUGGUGAAGUCAGAGUGCUAUGGACACUGGCCGAGAGGGUGUCCUGGAUGACAUCUGCAUGGUUCUGGCCCACUCCCUCACCCUGCUGGCCCAGGCACUCAGGCUACGCUCUGCUCCUCUGCAGGGUGGAGGAAGGCGGGGAAGAGGGUAGCAGGUAACAGGCCUGGCUAAACUCACGGGCAUGGGGGCUGGAAGAAACUACCCACACCACUUUAUGUCAAAUUUAAACUCCCCCUACACAGGUUAGUCAUCUUUUCCCACUUUGUCAAUGCCAGGGGCAAUACCACCAGUAUAAUGGACAAGAGCACAGGCUCUGGGACCAAACAGCCUGGGCUGGACCCCCAAGCUCAUGGGCCAUGGGCAAGUUCCUGAUCCUCACUGUGCCUCAGGUUUCUCAUCUGUAAAAUGGGAAAAACGAGACCACUUACCUCACAGGGCUGUAUUAAAUAACACACGCCUGGCACAGAGCAGGCACUGUAAAAAGAUUCUUUUGCAUCAGUGAUAGAUACUAGUAUUAUUCUAUGCUACCUUCCAUGUUUGCUUUUAUUACACACUGCUUUAUAACCUGAAAUCUGACGACUUCUAUAGAACCCCGAUGUCAAUGCAUGGCAGAGAGUUUGCUCUCAUUUAGAAAUUCCUUCACUCUGAUGCAGAAACAUCACUGGAUCCUACUAGUGGGUAACUAUGAACUAGGUGGCAUAUACAAAAAUAAUCACAACUCUGGGGGUGGGUCUUUGUCUCACUGGAGUUAUAAAAAGGCCCAAGAGUAUAAGCUAACAGGUUUCCAGGGCAAUGCUUCCACUAUCCCUAUUUAUAGAGCAAAGCCUGUAAAAGCAGCUUUCUCCAAGAUCUGAAUGAUAUUUAUGUGUCUGCGGAUCCACUGUGGGGCAGACAUGUUGCACUGGGGUGGGGUGUGUAAACACACUCAUACUGGGAAGAUGUAUAGGAUGUGGGGUUCUUAAGGCGCUGGCACUAGGCAGCGGCACUAGGCAGCCUCCACCACCCCCCAGCUCCAAGCUAUAGACAAGGUGAUCCCCACUGUGCAGAGCUCUGCAACGUGGAGCUCAGGAAGUGGGAUUCCUAGGACUGAACCCCUCCAAGAUCCGCUCUGUAUGUGCAUGGACGGGUGACCCCUCUCAGGAGCAUGAUGUAAUGGGUGAGAUCAGUAACAGCAUGGCAAGGCUGGUGUGGAGGCAAAUGCGGACGGGGGGAAGGACAGUCUUGGGAACCAGUAAGACCUGGAUUUACGGGUCAGUUUCACCACUUGCUUUGUUAUCUUAAAAUGGGGGUAAUAUUAAUAGCUAUCUCCAUAAAGCAAUUUUGAGAAUUUAAAAAAUGAAUACACCUAUAAAAUACUCAAUGGCUGAGUGUUAGUGAAUGCCAUGUUAUAUGGAUCUCAAGUGACAGUCUGAUAAAAUGUCAAAGAACAGUCCUAGUCGUUCCAAUCAAAACAAGGCAAAUCCUUUGGGACACCUACAAGAAGAGAGAGAGAGACCGCUGCUGCUGCACUUCAGAAACAAUGGCGAUCCCGGCAUGGUGAGAUUUUUUUAAUGUCUUAAAAUCUUUUUUCUUGUUCAUAUCUACAUUUUUUCUAUUUGACCAAAAGUCAAGCAGGGCUCUACACACCUAGAAUGUGUUGCUUUUCAGACUUUGCAAGCAUUCACGUCAUGCUCCAGAGCACUAGGGAGAGCCAGCCAUCUGAGCAGGCCCCGCUGAGGCACAUUCACGUCACAAUGUAGACAGGAUUAUUUAUUCAACUUGCCAGUGUGUCCUUAGCACUAAUGAACACCCCUGAGCUACCAUCAGCUGAGGCACGCUAAAGCCAAAAAGCUUUGGUCAGCCCCCCUAGGUCAUGCAGCGAGUGUGCUCACCCACGAAGAGGCAGCGCUUGGAACCAAAGUCAUUCUUAAGCCCCUCCACCCCUUCUCUAACCAGUAAGGACUCUCCAUUGUCACGUGGCACAGCCUACGUGAGAUCAGGAACAUUCAAUUAUCAGCCUCCUUUUCUGGCAGAGCUUUGAAAAGUGUGGAAAUUAUAUUCCACAGUUACUGCAACAUGAUUCCAUCCAAAGUCCCACAAAUGCUCAAGCAGCAGAAGUUUGCUAAUCUACAGUAUGUUAUAUUCAUCUCCCACUUCUUUUAUAAAAAGAUGCAAAUGUGCUGUGCUAAUGACAUUUAAUAUUGCUAAGUCACAGAUUUAAUAAGAGCUGGUAUCAAAUCUGCUAUCUGUAAAUGCAGUUCUACAAAAACAGAUAAGUGCACACAGCAAAAUUAAAUUUUUGAAAAAGCUACUACAUAAAAUAAAAACUUCAAGAUCCAUGACUAUUUUUUAGUAUAGACUCUAGAAAUAAAGCAUUUUAAUUCUCAAUUAAAACUAAUAAGUCAUUAUGACAAAAGUCCUCUUUUUAUUUACUGCCGUUGUAAAUGAUCACAAAACAUAUUCAUUGUCAAGUGAAUGCACAGGCUUUCAAAGGUGAUUGUAUUCUGCAAGGUGGGGAAUAGCCAACUACCUUCUAAGGUGAAUGUGCAGCCUGCCAUUUCCAACCCCAAAACUCCUCUAGAUUCUCAACAGGGCAGCUUCUGCUUCAUGCCUCUCUUCGGAAAGGUCAGCCCUGUGUAGAAGGCUUAAUACCAACAUGCAGAUCCACCUGAGAAUCACUGGAAUGCUCUGGACCCAGCUGGAAUGCUUCCGGAACCCAGUCAGGCUUCCGGAAAUGAGAAUGUGUGCACACACUUCUUUCCGUAUGGUUUCACUCUUUCCACAGGUGAAUUACUUACCUGCCCGGUCAUAUAAAAUGUGGGAUCGCUGUAGGCCCUCCUUCACGUCAUUCUCUGUGAUCAGAACUCUACUGGGAGAAUAGGAUUGCCCACUCUUCUUACAGAACAUGGCGGGCCUGAAACACAAGCAGGGUUAGUUACGGUCACACUCAGGCUGCAUACUUCUUGUUCUGCACAUGUCUUAGAAACUCAUACUUCUCAGCAAGGACACUGAAGAGUUCAAGGCCUUUGCCUCUUAUUCUCACCUUUGUCAAUGUGCUUAAGCAUCAUCAAGACUACGAACUGACUGGGGCUCCUAAGUCACCAGGUUAUCGCCCUGUAUCUUAUGAGUGUCGAGGGUAUCUCACUGCAUAGGUUCAUACAUCUAAGUCUGUGUGAAACAGACACUGACUGGCCUGGAAAGUCACUGUUGACAGGUGGUCUCUCUGGUUCUACCCUGCACAACAGUGAAAACUUUAUUAGAAAUGCUAGCACCUCAUUACCGUGUAUGGAAAACAUGUUCCAAAUGCAGCCUACAUCCGAUGAGACAGAUGUGCUUAGACCACUUUCCACACAGGGGAGAGUCAGCAUUAUAUCUGAAUAUUAGCUCUGAAGGGCUCCAGAUCAUGCAGUUCAAUUCCUUCAUUUUAAAAACAACAAAUUGGGUCCCUAGUUACUCUGAGCACAGCAGGUCCUAGAAGCAGGUCUCAGGAUUCUCUUGGCCUGGGGAAUCUUGGGAUGCUGCAGUAGGUCAUCUCAUAGUGGACACUAAUCAUGCAAAAUCCGCACAGGGUAGCAGAGAGGUCAUUAGCCUGGGAAGCGACGAGAAGACUGCUGGUACAUAGCCAUGAGACCCUGGGUAAGCCACCUAACCUCUCUCUGAACAUCAGGACUAAAACUUACAGUCACAUUUCUAAAUUUGGACCCUCAUAAAUAAGAUCUAACUAUGAUCAGAAGGCUGACUCAGUAAAAUUUUCUAUCCCUAGUUGAGUUAAACAAGACAUCUAACACAUUUCAUAACUUAGUGGGGUCUUAUUCCUGGCUGAGCUGCUAGCUGCACAUUUGUGAAGCAAAAAAAUAAAAUUUUUCAGUUACAGUUCACCCAUGUCAUCAACAUUCAGCUGAGAACAUCUACAGUAAAUAAUAAGCCCAUUAGGACUGUCCGAAUCAGCUACCUGGAAAACAAUGUACAGGCACCAACGGGGCUGGGCCGGGGAGGGGUGGCAGUUUCCGAAGGGGACCCAGCUUGCCUGCUGGAUCAAUGCAGAACUCCUCAGCAUACACCCACUCACUGACACUACUCUGCUCACUGAGUAACCCAAAUAACACCAAUCUGCAUUUCAUUCACGGAAGGAUUUGUUCCCAAUGCCUUAAAGAUGCCUCAUCUCACCCCCAUAUUUACCAAAGUUGAUUUCCAGUUAUUCCUUGUGGGUCUCUCACCACACCUAAGACAACUGGCCAGCCCCAGCUUUACAACAAAUGACUCUCUCCUCACUCAUGCCAACUGCCUGGGCCCCAGAGCCAGUGGUGCAGCCUGGAGACCCAUCUUCCUCUCUCCUGAUGGUAGCAUUCUCUCAGCAGACCUCACCAGAACAACAAAAAAACAAACACCGAGGCCAUGUCACUGGCACUCUAUAAAGCCUGGGGAUCACUGCUCAACCAGAAAUUAGUUAGCAAGUCUUCUGGAAGAUGAUUUAGAAGAUAAUGAUGGACAGAACAUAUACUAAAGAAAAUGUAUGGGGAAGGACCAGCAUCACAGGGGUGUAGCAGUACGUGACAUGCCUGAGAGGGAAGGGUGCACUCUCAGCCCCUUACUGCACUCAACCUGUGUGGGAAGACAGGUAGGGAGAACAGAAACUGCUUGGGCAUCUCAUUUCUGCCUCAGAACUAGUAAAAACAAUGGAUUCUCUCUCCUUGGAAAGCUGCCUAGCAACAAAAAGCCUUCAGGACAAUUGAGGGAAGAAAAAGGAGUCAAAGCAGGAGCCCCAUUGGAUCCUAACGGACUGAACUAGCCUAUAUCCUGCACCAUGGGUUGGAUUGUGUGUUGAUUACAUUACAUUCAUCAUCCCUACUAUGCGGAGCACCUCAAGGAGAGGAAUAUUUUAUUCUUUGUAUUCCCAGACCUGGUAGAUGAUAGGCAUCCAAUAUUUGCAAAAUGAAUGGACUAACUUCAGUUUUAUCAUAAUCUCAGAGUGAAACCUUUACUUCUUAUAAAUUAUAUGGAAAGUAUAGAGAAAACAAAAAGAAUCCAUAUUUCCAGCACUGAGAGAUAAAAAUGUACUUGAUAUUUCCAGCAGAAUGAAAGCUACUGUGCCAAGUGCUGACUUUACGAUCCACUCACCCAUGCAACCAUCAACCUUACAGCUAACCUAAAACAAAAACUGGGACCAUAUUUUACAUAGUUUUACAUCCUUAACCAUUAAAUAAUUGUUUGAAAAACAAGCUACUCAGACCUGUCAACAUUUACUUUAAAAAAAUUUACAUUAAAUUUUAAAAAUAGACAAAGGGAGAAAAUUCACCUUCUGCUAGACUACCUUGACGUUAGUAUUUUGGUAUGUAUCCCUUCUCCAUGAAUUUGUCUUUUGUAUGUAUUUAGGGGCAUGGCAUGCUCUUUGGACAGUGACGAGAUGGGCAGCCUUAUAUACCAUGGUAUUUACUAGUAUAAACUGCCUCAUUUCCAUUAGUCCUCAUAUACAGACAGGGAGGCAGGCCUUAUUAAUUAGGACAGAAGCCAGCUAGCCGUCUACUCCAUUGAUUUAUCAACAGUAUGCUGUGAAUAAGUCUUUAGCAAUGAUUAUGUAUUUUAUGUGGUUGGAAAAUAAGGUCUUCCUUUGGCUUUUAAACUCCUGACCAAAGUACAAGUGGUUCCACACUUCUGGUUUGGAGUCAUGGGGAAUGGAGGUGCUGCCACAACGAAAGCUACCUGAGCUCGCGCCACUCCCUUCUUCUUCCUCCCCUUGGGUAUAAUCCACAUUUUAAAUUUCACCCCGUCCAAAAGAAGAAAGUAUUUCGAGGCCCAGAUCAAUCUGUCGGCAACUCUGUCCAAGUAAUACAGGACCUGCUGACAGCACUCACAAUGAUCACACAAGAAAAUUACAAAAUGGAGAUUCACUGUGAAGACGACUGAGCAGGGAAAGGUUCCACUUAAACACCCAAUAUAUCUUGAACUCCCAUUUACUAAGUUCUGAAGAACGAAGUAAGAUAUACUAAAAUACCCUGAGAUCUUAGAAUGGGAAGCCCAUGAGAGAACUCAUGCCAAGAAUGAUGAAGGGAUAGUUGUAUUGAUAUUGGCAAAAUCCCUCAGCAAACUGCGGCACAAACUAUUUUGAAAGAGUGUUCCCAGUCUAGAGAAUUUACAAUUAUUUUUAAAUUUAAGCAUAUAUUAAAAUUAAGCAUAUAUUUAUAAAGUGUUUUGCACUUAAAAAUAACCUUCCAAAGGUAGAAUACAAUAAAAAGAGGUAAAAUCUAUUCUGGGGAUAGACUGCCCAAAAUGUCAUAACAUCCUACAUGGAAAUAAACAAUAGGAAGUAAAUUAUGUUGUUAUAAUAAAACACUAUUUAUAAUAAGGGAAAAUUGGUUAAAAUAAAUGCAUUGGAAAAGAUUCUAUUUCUAGUUAACAAAACCUAGAGAUAGAAACAGACUUAAGAGAGCUUGGCUUCUCCAACUGAUGAGAAGGGCUUUAAUUUUAACAGAAGAAUAUAGGAAGCUCUCUUCUUUCCUCUUCCAGGUGCCUAAAUCCUGAAGCUUUCUACACAUUGGGUAAUACUGGAAUUUGGAGGAUACUACUUAGACAGCUGGAUAUGUAAGUUGGAGAAGGAGUGCAGUAAGUAAAAAUGUACCUGUUAUUUCAAGGCAGAAUGAAAGAAUAUGCAUGGCUUGGUUAAACUCUCCCUCUCUAAAUUACAAACCAAACCCCACAAAUCUCUUCCACUAAGGAAAAGGAACAUUUCAUGGUCAGGGUGAUAACUGCUGUGUAGAAGUUUCAACCAGGGAUAUGCAUCAAGUUAGACACAAAUACAGCCACAUGUACCUUACCUACCAUAGACUGAGCUCAAAUCUCCAGGGGCAGACCCUGGGCAAGGCAUGUUUCUAAAAUGUAUCCCAGGGAAGUGUGAUGUGCAGAUCUGGUUAAAAGGCUCUCCUGCUGCUCUUACACAAAGAAGUGCCAAGAGAGAAAAGUCAGAACAGAAAAACCGAGCAGUGGGUCCAUCCUCUGUAAACUUGGCACCUCCACCCCUUGUAGCACUUGAAGUCACUGAGAAGACAGAGACAUGCCUUAAACACUGGCUCCAUCACAUUGAAGCUGGUUGGUCUUGGGCAUGUUACUUAACCUUUUUGUGCCUCAGUUUCCUCAUCUAGUAAAUAGGAGGUAAUGAGAUCUACUUUGCAGAGCUGUAUUGAGGACUGAAUGAGAUUAAGACAUGUGGAAUGCUUAGAGCAGUGCCUGCCAUGUCAUGAGACUCGACAAAUACUGCUUUGGUAUCAACAGCGAGGAGAAUCACCCUCAUCAGACUGUGCAACAGCAUACUCUCCAGAACUGCACAUAUCCAAGGCAGAGCCCCAGAUGCUGCCGCUUCCAUAACAUCAGAGUGAAAGCAAAGCAAAACAAAACUGACUUUCUCCACAAAGAGAGAAGGUACAUUUCAGAUGACGACGUCUUUCUGUUUAAUCCCAUGGAGGCACAUGUCUUUCCAAAUUACAUUAUACUUGGUAGGGGUCUGUAGUGGGUUGAAUAGUGACCCCAAAAGAUGUAAGUCCUAAUCCCUGGAACCUGUGACUGUGACUUUAUUUGGAAAUAGGGUCUUUGUAGAUGUAACUAAGGGUCUCAAGAUGAAAUCAUCCUGGAUUUAGAGUGUACCUUAAAUCCAAUGACAAAUGUCCUUACAAAACACAGAAAAAGAGAAGACGUAAGGACACAGAGAAGAAGGCCACCAUGUGAAGAUGGAUGUAGAGACUGGAGUGACAUAGUCAUAAGCCAAGGAAUGCCAAGGGCCAUCAGAUGCUGGAUGAGAGCAUCGCCUUGUUGAUACCUUGAUUCUGGUCUUCUGGCUUUCAGAACUGUGAGGAUAAAGCUCUGUGUUCUGAGCCACCCAGUUUGUGGCAAUUGUUACAGCAGCCACAGGAAGUGCAUCCAAGGACCAUGAGAUCUGUGGUUCUGGCUGCUGGUGCUUUUAUGGCAUUAUUUUAAUGCACCCUUGUAUUAAAACAGCUAUGUUAAUGUACUGUAUUAAUGUACUUAAAAAAUUUUUAAAUAAAAAGAUUGACAUCUACUCUAUACCAACCAUUUAUUCUGGCCAAUCCCUUGUAUUCUGGAGUUCCACUACCUUUCUUUCUAUUCAAUGGCACAAAAGGUUAUUUAAGACACUUUAAACUUUUAUAAAAAGAAGAAUCCAUAGCCACCUUGUUUGGGGGCCAGCUUGUCAGGGGCUCUCCUCUCCAGAUGAUUAGAGAAAAGCCCCACACCCAGUUACGCCACAGCCCUUACCCAGGGACAGACGCCACUUUCUGUCUUCCAACCACCUCUCGGAACUCAGCCUAGCUAGGCAGAGGGCAGUUAUGGCUUCUCAUUUCACUCUCUUGAUCUCCAAAGACUUGUAUACUCUAUCUGGUUCACAAAUAAUUGAUUCUUUAGGAGUGUUUUUGACUAUGUAUAUAUUCUAUGACCUAGGAAUCUAUAUUCCUUCAAAGCAGCAAGUAGUGCAGGAUGACGAAAUGCUAGCUUACUUUUUCAUUUUCAGCAGCACAAGCUCAUUCUUCGUAUCAUGAAUCAUGGACAUUUUUUUCCUGGCCUCCAAAAUUAACCCAGAGCAGACAGAAUCUUCACUGUUUGUAUCAUGUGAUCCAAAUAUUUUUGGGAGAGCAAAAUACCUGAACACUACUGCUUAGCCAUACAAACCAAAGCAACUAUGGCGUAGACAAUGAGCUUUCUAUUUCACUCAGUUAAAUUCUGCUUAUCCUUCAAAACUCAACUCCGCAUCCCCUCAUCUAGGAGGUGAAAUACUGGAUUUCACAUAUUCUGAAUGCUGCUUCUCUACGCCCACUGCACUUGGCGUAUAAGCGUGGCACUGGAAGUGGACCUGCUCCCCUAGCCUUCAUCAUACUGCGCUCCCUCUGAAGGCACAGGAACAAGCUUUUCAACCCUCAGCCAAUGCCUAGCAUAUGCAGGAGCUUCAAUUUUGACUGAAUAAUAACUACAGGAGGGAAUUUUUUUUUAAAAAAAGAACACUUAUUUCACUUUAAUGGGAAUUUAUCACUUACAUGAGUAUACUGUGUGACAACUCACAAUUCCUCAAGUGCAAUCAAGAACGGCUAAGCGGCAGCUUGAUUAGUUUCCAAAUCCAGUGCCCUGCUCACCUCCUCUCACGUGCAGUUCAACAGCCUGGGACUUCUCUGUAAAUGUUCUAGUUGCUAUCUAGGGCACCAAAACAUGACACAAGAAUACAAAUGCACACCAAUAGCUUCCUGGAGAGAGAAAGUAAGUAUAUGGGGUUGGAAGUCUUUUCUUUCAACUAGAUUAGUGUCACCAAAUCUGAUUUAUAUGCACAAGGAUGUAUAUAGAGCUGUCAACAGGGAUUGGAAAGCAAAAUUUUACCUAAAACAACUAAAAGACAUCCCAAUCCACUCUUAAUUAUCCCUGACAGUUGGGGUGGCAGGUACUUGUAUUCGGAAAUCACUUGUAAGAGUUCUUUCUGUGGCCUAUGAUAUCUCCUAACUUAACUUCUUGUUAGAAUUGCUAACAAGUUGACCAAUUAAUGGUUUUAAGCUUAACAUUCUUUCAUUUUACUCUGCUUGCUGCUGAUGAAAAGGGCAAUAGUAUUAAAGAAAAAGGCUCUUGAUACCUGGGUAAUUAUCCCUUAUGCUGGAUAAUGCAAAACAUAUUAAACUACUUUUCUCAUAUCGAAAGCUAGGAUUUAUUCAUUUCCAAACCAUUCACAAAGCACAUAAUGUGUGCCAGGCACUGUGCUGGGGAUAUGAACAGGGACAAGCUCCUGUCCUCACAGUCUUCCCAGGAAAGCGGGGGACACAAGAUAGCAAAUAUAAUUGGGAUCAAGUCUAAGCAAGCGGUAGUGGAAAUAGUAAAUCAUUUACUGGAUAUGGGAAGUUUUCUCUGAAAAGCAAUUUUAGCAGAUAAACAAUCUCUAGCUCAUUGUUAUAUCAGUUUCAAUAACUAAAUCUUAAUUAUUUCACUUGAUCUUCUCAAACUUUAAUGUGCCUGCAAAUCACCUGAGGAUUUUUAAUAAUAAAAUAUAGAAAUUCUUCUCACAAGGAUGAGCUCCUUGGCUGCCGCCUUUCUCAUUUCCUUUAAAUUCCUGCACGGCAGUGACUGGGGAGAGGUGAAAAAACCUGAGGGUAUCUGAGUAACAACUGAUUAUUAUUGACUUCAUGUCAUCAAUAUUAAUUAUUGAUUUCAUGUUCUAUUUCAUGAACUGAUGACAUGAAAUCAAUAAAAAUCACCCCAGACAAGUACACAUGCAGAAUAUUAAGUUGCAGAUACAUUACGAUAACCAGUACACAGAGCAAAGAACACACAGAAACAUGAAACAUGUUAGGAUUUCCCCCCUUUUCUUUCAAUUUGUCUUUACCAUGUGGUUCUAUGCGUCUGUAAUGAGAAUUCUGUUACGGGAAACCUACACAUGAGUAUCCCACAUCUGAAGUGCCUGGGACCAGAAGUGGUCUGAAUUUCCUAUUUUUUUGAUUUUAGAAUAUUUGCAUUAUAUACUUACCAGAUGAGCACCCAAAAUCCAGAAAUCUGAAGUGCUCCAAUAAGCAUUUCCUUUCACAGCAUCAUGAAGGUGCUCAAAAAGCUUUAGAUUUGGGAGCAUUUUGGAUUUCAGAUUUGGGAUACUCAACCUGUACUACAUAUGAGGAGCUGGCAGCCCCCUUAGGCUCUGACAAAUGCCCACCACAUAAAGCACUUCUGAGUAUGAGUCCAUGUGGCUGAUACCACAGGUUCCACACACUGCUUGUGGCCACAGAUGUAAUGGCUAUCCCCAUCACAACGGUAUUCCAAAACAAGGCCACUCUGUCCUACCCAGUGGUCCACGGGCCAAAUGUUUCAAUGCUUUCAUUAGACACAGCAGAAUUCUCCCUCCAUCUCAGACAGGAGCAAAUGGGGCCAGACACAUAGGGAGAGCCUGGUGAAACCUAAACCCUGAGCCUAAACUAUGCCUUGUACUUUAAUCCUCACAGAAAAGUGGCUCCAGAACUUGGCCUCAGGGCAGGCACGAGCAGCUGCAGAGUCCACAGCAGGAGGAGGUGGGCAAUAGCCUCUCAUCACACCAGAUUAUGUUCCAUGGCAGUAUUUCAGCCAACGUAUGAACAAAUACCAUCUGAAGAAUAUGUUCUAAUAUUAAAAAAAAGGAAAACCCCUGACCCAAGAAAUCAAAUUAUCUAUGAUAUACACUUGGUGCAUUAACGAGCUCAUGUGGUACUCAUGAUGCAGAAAUAGGUCACUAAAAGGAUAGGGACAGCCUAUAAUGUCAUAUUCAGUUAACAUUCCUUUACUUUCAUGAAACUGAGUUUCAACUACACAAAAAGGAUUACAUAAUUUUAAGGUUACAAGUUAAUUUUUACUUGAUUUUUUUUUUUUAACAAAAUGCUAAACUGCAGGUUAAAAAGAAAUUGAAACAUGAGUACAAUGCUCAAAAGAGUUGUAUGGUAAGUCUAGAAAGUAUUUAUCUAUCUAUUUGUUCUAUUCAAUGAGGGACAUAAAGCCUUUCAAAUCAUCAAUAAGGCUUCCCAUAGAAGCCUAAGCACAAAAGCAAACACCCAAGAACCAAAACAACAAAGCAAAGUUAAAGCUUGAAGAAUUAUAGAAACACAUAUUAGAGGCUGGAAAAUGCAUCUUCAAGUGUGCAGGGAUAACUUUGUUAGGUAUAAUCGAACAUUUCCCUCCUCUUUUAUUUUCAUUACGGGCGGAUCAACAUUUCUUCUCUGUCCCCACCCUCUCCUCACUGACGCCCGGCCCUUUCUGGCCCCCUGCCAGGAGACUCUCUGGGAGGUGUGUGCCCCCAGGACGCUGCACACUGUCAACUUACUCUGAGCUGCUGUUGCUGCUGUGGCUCAGAGGGUCAGUG